GGUCAUUAACCAAAAUCUCUUUCUUACUUCUAGUAUAAAUCUCCAUGGUCUCUGCAAGGAUUGUGUGCUUGUCUUUCUCUAUUUCUUUAACUAUCUUCGCAUCAGUCCACUCUACUUCGAUGUUAUACUCGCAUGCUGCUUUUGCAAGAGAUGUGGUAUCUUUCUUCUCUGACAAGUCACGUUUGUGCUCUUUUAGCCUUCUACUAAGGGACCUGAUUGUCACCUCAAUGUAUGACUGGUCCUCUCCGGUAGUAUUGUUUCUAAUGGGGAUCCUAUACACUCCUGCUCUCUGUUCUUCCUUUAAUCUAUCUUUAUUGCAUCGAAGCUUGUUAAAUAAGGU
rnacentral:lncRNA from 1 species